rnacentral:rRNA from 1 species
UACGUAGGUUGCGAGCGUUAAUCGGAAUUACUGGGCGUAAAGCGUGCGCAGGCGGUUAUGUAAGACAGGUGUGAAAUCCCCGGGCUUAACCUGGGAACUGCAUUUGUGACUGCAUCGCUGGAGUGCGGCAGAGGGGGAUGGAAUUCCGCGUGUAGCAGUGAAAUGCGUAGAUAUGCGGAGGAACACCGAUGGCGAAGGCAAUCCCCUGGGCCUGCACUGACGCUCAUGCACGAAAGCGUGGGGAGCAAACAGG